AGGCGCCCGGCUCCCCACCCCAAGUCUCCCGCGGGCUCCUGGCGGUGGACGCCGCUCUCAGCCGGAACAGCUAGCUCCAGUCCACGCUGCGGGUCUGCUCCUGGGGAGGCCUAGCAUAGGUGGGGGGGUGUCCAGCCCCUUACCUGGGCCUUCCCCAGACACACCCAAGUGGAAGGGGACCUCGGCCAGUGAAUCAGCCGGCCCAAGGAGGGGUUUGGAGUUACAGACGAGGAGAACCGUUGGACCCGAGAGAGGUGGGGUUCAGGGCACGCGGCCCUCGGGGAGGAAGCGAAAUGAACCCUGCUAUACACACUUGGGCCGCUGGAGGUUUGGCGACCCUGUUAAGGUGUGCCUGUCCCACAGGCCGCACUCUUCCGACCCUUGGCAUCAGAGAAGGAGCCUUCGAACUUGGACAGUCCAGGCCCACCCAGCCUGGCCUGACAGCUGCAGAGCAAGAAGCACCUGAUGACGGGACUCAGGCAGAGUUCACCUGAGCAUCCUGAUGGCGCCAGCUCGGCCCCCAGCCAACCAGAGCAGUGCCACCUGUUGAUUGAGGAGCAUGUACCGAGAGCCCUAGAUGUAAAUCCUCUAAUGGUCAAUUCUAAGAAUGGUCUUAAAGUAAAAACAGAAGAAAAGUAAAGGAUUGAGCAUUUGGCAAGACAAAGAAUUUCACGAACAUUGAUUUCCUAAUGAAGAUGUGAUAGACUCCAUUUUUACAAAAACAAAAUUGACAAACAGGUAAGCUUCUUUUUCUUUUUCUUUUUUUAAAUUUAUUUUUUAUUUUUAAUUUUUUUUUUUUUGGUUUCUCAAGUCUUAGCCAUGCUCCACACUGUAUUGAACUAACAGAGACAAAAGAACUACUUAUACCCAUCAUUAAGAAGAAUCAGUUUGUGCCAAAACCACCAUGUACAACUUUGUCCUGUUGCAUUUAUAUGAAAUAAUACAUAUGCCUUGUAGUUAGGUCACCUAGGUCUAAAGAAUGCCGGGUGUGUGGGAGAUUAAUUUAAAUUAACUUUGACGAAUAAGGGUAGUGUAACCCCUUGAAAGAAGAACUCCAUUUAUAAUCAGGAUUGAUGGUAAAUGUGCCCCACUAAGAUUUGAAAGUUUAUUCUUAAAAGGAUCUGUUUACUUGGGUUACCUUGUCUUGUCACCCUUGAUCUACCGAGCUGUGUUCAUCUGUUUAAGACAUGUGAAUAGUGUAGGUUCCUUGCAUAAUAAUACCCGAAUUAGGGCACUUCAGAUGUAAUUUAAAUCAGAACUUUACCCCAUUUGACAAUAAAGAAGUCACUAUAAAUCAAGGAAAUGAUGUUCUCUGGAUCAGGCUGGCCCACUUAUUAGGAAGAUUGGGCAGGGAAAUGCAUUCUGAGUUUCCAUGUGCAGGCACUGGUGACUCUCUAAGCCUGUCUCUUCUCCCCCAUCUGGGUAGAAGUCUUGCGUAGUUCAGGAGUUGAUGCUGUGCCCACUUUGUGGUUGACUUGCAGUAACAAGCAAACCUUUGUCAGGGUCCUCAUUAUUACCUGUUUCAUCUUCACUGCAUCACUGUUCAGGUUCUUGGGCUGUCACAAUCCUGUUACAGUUCAGUAGGUGAGGGUGAAAUCUACAGGCCAGGUCUAAAGCUGAUGCUGUGUUUGGGUUUCCCACGGGUGUCAACUUAGAAAAGUGUAUCACAGAGAAGCUGAUGUGGAUGGGAUCUCUGGCUCCAUUUGGUGCCUGAAAACACAUUGUAUGAGAUAAUCUAUUUAAAAUAUUGCCACUUUAGGGAGUUCCCUGGUGAGCCAGUGCUUAGGACGCCACACUUCCACUGCAGAGGGCGUGGGUUUAGUCCCUGGUUGGGGAACUAAGAUCCCACAUGCCCCACGGAGCGGCCAAAAAAAAUAAACAAAAAAUAAAAUAUGCCACUUUAAAACUGUAUUUCGGGAACUCUCUGGUGGUCCAGUGGUUGAGUGGUUGAGACUUCACCUUCCAGUGCAUGGCAGGGGGUGGGGGGUGGGCGGCUCAGGUUGAAUCCCUGGUUGGGGAGCUGGGAUCCCACAUGCCUUGGGGCACAAAAAACCAAAACAUAAAACAGAAGCAAUAUUGUAACAAAUUCAAUAAAGACUUUAAAAAAAAAAAACACCUUAUUUCAUGUAUCUACUUU